GAGAGCUCUCACGCAGUCCAAGUCGUACUCCUUCACUGCCCCACGUCGUCCGCUUCUUCCAGAAGAAAGAGGGAUUGCCCAGCCCUCGUUCCCCAUCUGUCCGUUCCUCUCCCUCUCCCUCGGCCGCCGCCGGCGGUGACCUCCCCCAUGGCUGACGCCCCCACCCCCUUCUCUCUGCCCCUUGCCUUCUCCUCAUCAUCAGCAACCUCCUUCCCUCCUCUCGCCCCAGAUCGAGGACAGGUCUGGAUCCGGCACGCCCACAGCGCUGCUUCGGCUAAAGCAAGGUGCUCUUGCCCUGGUGCUACAGCCAUGGACAAGGUGCCCUCCCAUCUCUUCUCUCUGUAUGUGUUGGAUGGUGGGAAACAAUAACUGCAUCAAGAGCUACCUCGAUGCCAUCCUCGACACCGGCAAUCAGAUCGCGGCGAUCGCCCCUCCCUGCUUCUCCUCAAUCUUGUCCACUUCUCCCUGCUACUCCGUCGAGGAGGUCAUCACUGUCUACGAAGAUACCGACCUCUACAAGUCAUUGCUCCGGGGGGUGAACGUGGUGUACAGGACAACGAACUUGAGGAGCAGCGGGCCAGGAGAUUUGUUCUCUGGGUGAUUGUGCGGAUGAAUUUGAUGUCGAGAAUGUCCGUUCUGUUGGCGAAAAGGCCCCCGUUAUUGGGAUAUUUCUAAGCACACCGCCAAGGAACUUUGAAGGUCCUUAUUUUAACCAUGAGUUUCAUCAUCUCGAAAUGCAGGAAGUAUAGAUGGCACCUCUAUGGUGCAUGUUUGCCGACUUAAUUCAAGAUAUCCUGCUGGACUAACAUCAUACAUCCAGAAUGCCAAAAGGCUUUUGGCAGAUUCCAAGGAAGAACAAAAUCCAUACGAUUCACGCCUUUGGUUCCCUUGAAUGAAGUAUUGACCUUCGGUGAUGGCAAUUUUGUUUAAGCACACAAUAUUGUGUUUGUUCUUGUAGCUGGUGGGCUUGGCAAAAGAUUUGGUUACAAAGGAAUUAAGGAAGACCUCGACAAAUACUUUCAGCCCCAAGGAAACAAAGGUGACCACCCCGUCAUCCUUGUCUGUUGGCUGGCUCAUUCUUGUCCUCAGCUGGGUGCAGGGGAUUUCACCCUCUUGCCAUGCGUCCGGCCGCGGCAGGAGAAAGUGGGUGGUAGCGAGCUGUGGGAUUGGUCAUUAGUCAGUUUAGUUCGCCGCACCAUCCUCAUCCAGGGUUUGGUGCGGGAUCUCGUCGGCUUGGCACCUUCAUUGUUACUCCGGAUCCCCGGAUCGCCGCCUUCUUCCUCCAGGCUGGCAAUCACCUGCAGGUUAACGUGAGGAAGUGACGAGAUACACGAAGGGUUGGAGAAGGACUGCAGGAGGAUGUGAGAACAUGCGUUGUUUCAGAUCCACCCGACUGAUCCCAAGUUUUUGCAAGGUCUGCUUCUUAUGGAAAAACUUCUUUCGAUGAGCCGCCUAUCCAAAUAAUUAAAAUUACUCCUUUUAGUUAGAUUUAGUAUUAGCCAAAUUAUUUGCUUCUGUGAUGACGAACAAACUGAGUAUAGUUUUAUUUUGCUUUAGAUGAGUAUUGUAGAGUAGGAAGACUUGCAAGAAUUUGUAUAAUAGUUUUGAACUCUUCUGAAACUGAAAGGAUCACACAUACUGAAGCAAACAAUUUAUGUAUUAUUAUGUACGAGUUUGGAUUAUUCUGAAGACUUCUUUUAGGUGCUUGGAUUACUCUGAGCAACUCUCACAAAAGUUGAGAGUAUAGUGUGAACACUGGCCAUAGUGUGCCAGGAUGACCGCUUGCACUACAGGAGCCUCGUGGCACUUGUCAUCUUUCUUUUUUCUUCCUCCCGCCUCCCUCCCUUUAGCUCUCAUUGUAGCUUUUGUGUGCAAGAGGUUUGAUCAUGGGCAUAAGCACAAUGGUUUCACAUUUCAUUGGUGCGUGCGCAUAAGAAAUGAACUUGGAAGAAUUUCUUUUCUAAGAUGAUUUGCUUCAUUACUGUAUGCACGAGCAUCAUUCCUAAAUAUAGUUUAUCAUUUGUACCCUCUUUUUGGUCCAUGACGACGGUGAUGUUCCUAUUGAAACACAGGUUUGGAAUUGAUAAUUUCCUGGAUUAGUAGACAUUGGUGUAUUUCUCAUUUUCUGUUUGCCUGGUCUUCCCUUGCUAUGCUCAAGAUUGCCUGCCAGGUUUUCAUUCAAGAUGAGAAGCUACUCACACACAUGCAUGAUGCAUCCACAUAUUUAUUUUCGAUCUGACAGCUUUGGCUUUCCUUUUUUCAUACAUCUUUCCUUCUACGGUGUGAGUCUUGUUUCAUGGAAAUGUGCACUCUACAAGUGUGAUUCGGAGGAGACUGGAUCGAGCUCAUUGAGAGGGUCAAUAUUGUUCGGGUUGGCUUCAGUAUUUCCCCACCGCCUGCUCAAGACGCUGUGGCACAGCCACGUUGGCCUCGGUGGCAGGUCCAACGACCGGCGGCGCCCGCGAGUGGGACGUGGGCUAUGUGGCAAAUUUGACAAUUGUCUGAACUGGGUGCGAAACUAA
rnacentral:rRNA from 1 species